rnacentral:rRNA from 1 species
GACAGAGGGGGCAAGCGUUGUCGGGAGUUACGGGGCGUAAAGGGCGCGGAGGCGGUCUGCGGCGUCGGCGCUGAAAGCGCCUCGCUUAAGGGGGCGAGGCGUGCCGAUACGCGCAGACUUGAGGCGAGCAGAGGGUGGUGGAAGUCCGGGUGGAGCGGUGAAAUGCGUAGAGAUCCGGAGGAACGCCAGUGGGGAAGCCGGCCACCUGGGCUCGUCCUGACGCUGCGGCGCGACAGCGUGGGGAGCAAACCGG